rnacentral:rRNA from 1 species
UACGUAGGGUGCGAGCGUUGUCCGGAAUUAUUGGGCGUAAAGAGCUUGUAGGCGGUUUGUCGCGUCUGCCGUGAAAAUCCGGGGCUCAACCCCGGACUUGCGGUGGGUACGGGCAGACUAGAGUGUGGUAGGGGAGACUGGAAUUCCUGGUGUAGCGGUGAAAUGCGCAGAUAUCAGGAGGAACACCGAUGGCGAAGGCAGGUCUCUGGGCCACUACUGGCGCUGAGAAGCGAAAGCGUGGGGAGCGAACAGG